rnacentral:rRNA from 1 species
GACGAACGCUGGCGGCGUGCUUAACACAUGCAAGUCGAGCGGAGCGGCGCACGGGUGAGUAACGCGUGAGUACCUGCCCCCCUCUCUGGGUUCACAGUUGGAAACGGCUGCUAAUACCGGCUAGUGGGGGAUGACUCGCGUCCUAUCCGCUUGUUGGUGGGGUAGUGGCCUACCAAGGCGACGACGGGUAGCCGGCCUGCGAGGGCGACCGGCCACAUUGGGCUGGGAUACGGCCCAAACGCCUACGGGAGGCAGCAGUGGGGAGUAUGGAGCAGUGGGGGAAACCCUGAUGCAGCAACGCCGCGUGCGGGAUGACGGCGUUCGGGUUGUAAACCGCUUUCAGCCAUGACGCGGUAGUGGCAGAAGAAGCACCGGCUAACUACGUGCCAGCAGCCGCGGUAAUAC